UACGAAGGGGGCUAGCGUUGUUCGGAAUUACUGGGCGUAAAGCGCAUGUAGGCGGAUAUUUAAGUCAGGGGUGAAAUCCCGCAGCUCAACUGCGGAACUGCCUUUGAUACUGGAUGUCUUGAGUGUGAGAGAGGUGAGUGGAACUCCGAGUGUAGAGGUGAAAUUCGUAGAUAUUCGGAAGAACACCAGUGGCGAAGGCGACUCACUGGCUCAUUACUGACGCUGAGGCUCGAAAGCGUGGGGAGCAAACAGG
rnacentral:rRNA from 1 species